rnacentral:rRNA from 1 species
CCACGCCGUAAACGAUGAUAACUAGCUGUCCGGGAACUUGGUUUUUGGGUGGCGCAGCUAACGCAUUAAGUUAUCCGCCUGGGGAGUACGGUCGCAAGAUUAAAACUCAAAGGAAUUGACGGGGGCCUGCACAAGCGGUGGAGCAUGUGGUUUAAUUCGAAGCAACGCGCAGAACCUUACCAGCGUUUGACAUGUCCGGACGACUUCGAGAGAUCGAUUUCUUCCCUUCGGGGACUGGAACACAGGUGCUGCAUGGCUGU